ACCAGAUGACGAGUCCCGAAUAGGACGAAAUGCGCAUCCAGGAU
rnacentral:hammerhead_ribozyme from 1 species